UUUUAAAUGCAUCUGGACAAGUGUGUACUCACUCUUUGUGAACGUGCAUGGUAACUUGUCUUUUAAUGGGAGAAGAAAUGUUACUUUUGUGCUUUCAGAUUGUAUUCUUGAGUAGGUAGGUAAGGUAGGAGAUGCAUGGACUGCUGGCUUCGAUAUGUGGUUGUGUUUGUGAGCAAAGCUUGAAUGCAUCAUCUUAGAGCCUUUUCAGUAUUAGUCUUUGCUUUUUUAAUUAUGUAUGCUGGGAACUUAGCGCACAGCUUGGUAUGUGAGGUGUCUCAGACAGGAGACUUGCAUAAGUCCUUUGGGAGACGGUGUUUACAUAGUAGUUGAUGUGUUUGUUGGUAUUUGUUUGCAUACAGAAUCUCAUAAUACUUAAGCACUAGAACGCAAGCCAAUUAAUUUAAAAAUUAAAAUACUGGCAGAUAGCCAGUUGUAAGUAUUUUAUCAACUUGGACAUUCCUCAUAAGAGUGGCCCUACUGACUUCAGGGGAGAUUUAUUUAAGAAUUUGCAGGAUUGAGCCUGGAUUUCUCUGUAACUGAACAUGGAUUUCUUCAGAUCAAUGCUUUGUAUCUUAGGGCACAUAAUACACUGGUCACUUGCUAUAGGGAAAACUCUAUUAAGCUGAUUAGCAUUUUAAAACCAGCGUGUCUGGGGGAACAAAGAACUCAGCUACCUGUCCUCUGAGUUGUCCGAUGUGAGCCUGCUGUCAUUUGUGGCGGUAUUGAGGUAUUAUUUCAAUGCUGUAUUUAAAUAAAGCUCAUUAACUUGGAUGCAUCACAUGAAAGCGAUUGUGUUUGUGGCUGGAGGUGGCUUGUGCCUGGCCAGCUAGGAACACAGCAGACAAGAAAGCAGCCCUGUCUAUGCAGGUUUGCCAUUGAUUGUCAUCACAGUGCCUGAACAACUUCUUGAGUUAAGAAUUUGAAUGAUACUCCAUAAUUUUUACAAACUUAUUCUGAAUUUUCAAGUGUUUCUGGCAGCUGGAAAAGAAAAAAGCUCAUUGCUGAGUUAAUUGAUUCCUAAGCCUUUAUUCACUUCACAGAAAUAUGUAUUCAUCAAAAAGUGAAGAUUGCUUGACAUUUCCAAGACACAUAAGAAUGGGAAGAAAGGCCUCUAAGUUCCACUGGAGAUGAUUUUAUGACUUCAAUUUUCCUAGAAUUUUUUUUGUUCGAUUGUUUAUUGUAAAAAAAAAAAAAAUAGAAUACAAAUUAGCAUACCUAAAGAAAAUGAUGUGGAGACAUGAGUGUAUAUUUUUCAGCUGAUAGUAGAGCUUGAGGAUAGUUUCCUUCAGCUAUUCCAGCCUUCUGCUCUUUGGCACGCCUACUGACAAGUAUUCAAGAUAAAUUAACCUGAAGAAAAUACUGCAAAUUCUUUUCCUUAUGUAAUUUAACAACUUUAAAAAGUUUUGUGUGUAUUUCUGAAGUGAAACUAUUGUAAGGAUGUCGAUAUUCAUGCAGUCAUUGAAAAUAACAUACCAAGAGUGAUUUGGAUAGGCUCAGAGAUCCAUCCAUACCAACUAAACACGAUGAUCUCUAGCUCAGGAGGUUCACGUGUUGCUGAUAUCUGGAUGCCUGGGAAAGUAUGAGAAGGAAAGUACCUGUUUGUGCUCUUUUCUUAUAUUGUCUGCAAACACUGACCUUUAAGAACUGCAGAAGACAGGAUUUGUGGCUGGACAGCUUCAAUUCUCUAUAAAAAUUCUCUGUUUAAAAACAAUUUAUUUUAGGAACUCAAUAUGGGAAGUAUAUAAAAUGCUUAAUUUGAUGACAUCAGCAAGUAACUUGAAAGUUAUACGUUGGUUUCUCUUAACCUGUGAAACCAUGGGGAUUCAUAAUUACUCAGCUUUGAAAGUGUUCCAGUGCCUGUGAAAGUGUUUAAUGUGAACUUCUCAUUUCUACUCGUGUUACACUAGAAUCAGGAUCUCCUCAUUGAAAGAGCUUUUAAAGAGUUCAAAUUAUUAUACAUUUACUGCCAAGAAGAGCUCACACAAAACAUCGCUGCAAAUCAGCUGAUGUAAAGUAAUGAAAACUAUGAUGAAAGUUCUUUAAGGUAGGUCAUUGGUAUGAAUAACAUCCAAGUGAGCUCUGAAAAGGUUUAUGUAUGGAAACAAUCUAGCUUUGUGAACUUAAACAUUCUACUGCUUUAAAAUUAUCCUGGGUAUGCUGUAGGCUGUUUCAUUGGCUUAACAGCAAGGCUUAACAUAAAUGGGUACGUCUCUGUGAUUUUAGCAUUGUCUUAAUACGAUGUCUUACCUACUGCAUGAUCUUAGCUUAGUCUUGAUGAGCAGUAAGAGUGAGCUAAAAUGUAGGGAAUAAAAAUAGGUAUUUUCAACCAGUGUAACUGGUGUUAAAAAGUGUUUGCCCUCCAUUUGAUGAAUAUACAGACUUUUUAAUCACUGCUUCUCUCACUGGUCAAUGGAAGCAUUCAAGAAUGCUGUUAGAGAAUAACUCAUUGCCACAGAAUCAUGUGGAAGUAAGGUCCUGGACUUUGUGUGUUACAGAAAUGACCAACUGCUGUUCUACAAGAAGUCCAUAUCUUUUCCUUGUUCCACAAAAGAAAUAAUGUAAACAUGGGUUCGACAUAUAGAAACAACAUCUUCUGCAUAAACUCAGUUUUCCUACUUGCUCCUUAGGGAGGCAGCUUCUUUGAAUGCUUGAUUGAUCAUUUAGACAAAAUUGAUGUAUGUUCACUGUCUUCUUUUGAAAUCUAAGCAUUUAUAAAUAGAUAUCUGCAUAUACAAACACACACAUAAAUAUUCAAACAGAUGAAAAAGAGAGAAAAAGAUCAAGAAUUAUAUCCCUCCCAUCAGAAGGAUGUUAGCUCUGUCUUUACAUUCUUUCUUUGAAGAUGUACAAUAGCAGAGCGGGAGAAUCCUGAUAAGCAGCACAGGGCUCACUCAGAAGAUAAAAUUCUACAAAACUUCAGAGUUGUAAAGCCAGUGUGGGCACUGUGUCUAAAGUACAUAGGGGAAUGGCCUUCGAGCCAAAGAUCGUAUCAUGUCAUCUGCUUGGAAAUGCUUUUCAGAGAUGCUGCAAUUGUGGAAAUUGAAGCUCCUUUCAGAAUUUGAAACAGCUGCAGGUUUCUUACAAGUGUUCAUAUUUUUUGUUAGGAUAUACAUUUCCUAUUACAGUCACUCAAAAAUAGCUGAGUUCUUAGGAAUAAGAAUACGUAUAUACUUUUUUAUGAACGGAAAGUUGUCUUUAACAAGCUUUUGAUAAUGUUUCUUCAAUACUUUCGUUUAAUCCAGUUUGAUUUACUCAUUUUUCUCUUUUUAAAAAUAAGUUUGAUCUUUUCUAUCCCCUCACAUGAAGUUGGUUCUGUAGAGCUGCUCCAGACUAUCCUGCUAUGUGUCCUUAAAAAAGAGCCAUUUCUUAGUAGUCAAAUCAGUGCAUAAUUAUCUUCCUUUAUAUGCAGUUAAGUUUUAAAAUGAUGUAUCAUAAAAAUACAGACCUACAGAGCUUUGAUUCCUAGGGGAUAACAGUUCAUCUGUGCCAUUUCUCUGAUUUGUCACAACCACCUGAGGCAACAUACCUGGCAUUUCAGAUGUGGGCUGCCGUGUAUGAUAAACGUAAGAACAUGAUCAGUCCUUUAAAUGAGAUGGAAUUCUUUAUUUUUGUAACUAUUCUAUAGAAGUAUUAGAUGAAUGUCAUACCUUAAAGAUUAGUACCCUAAAAAACUAAAAUGAAAUAAUUGUUCUCUGUAAGGGGGUUGUUGUGGAGAAAGAACAGAAACACAUUUGAAGAACUUGAGAGGCUUAAGAAGACAGUACUUCCAGAGAUCCACAGAAGAUGAAAUCUGGGUUUUAAACACAGCUCUUUCUGGAUUACUAGAUGAUGGUAUCUUGACAUGCUGAGAAAAGAGGACUUUACAUUGUAUUGUACCAAUGUUGAGUCGGGUUUUUUUAAUAUACAUUUAUUUGCUUUCAGCUAAAUUGGGGGGUUCAGAAGCAAGGGAUGUGUUUGUGAAGCAGCAGCUUCACAGCUUGGUUUUUAGAUCAAGGUUGAAAUGCGUUCUUAUCAGUAGGAAAGCCUCCAGCAGAGGUAAAAUAUGUGGCUUUGUCAAGAUGGAUGUCCUUAUUGCGUAUACACAGACAGUUGUUAUGCUCUUAGGCUCUGGAGGGCUAUGAAGGCUAGCCACCCUUCUGCCGGCACAGCCCUGGCUGAAACCAGCCUAGUGCCUUGUUCCUGAGAAGUCACACUGUGCUCCAAAGGGAGCUGCCACCAGAAUGAGUGACCACGGGAGGCCGUUGCAGUUGGAAGAAUAAAGGAGGUGUAGAAGAAAGGCAAUAAAUAGCUUCUGCUAGAGGAUUGUUUUUCUACAGUUCUGUUAAAUACUAGGUACAGUCCAAUAUUUAUCCUACCAAAAUGGUUGUUGUGUCCAGUUUAUGGGAAAGAUCUAUAGUACCUUGCCAUGAUGGUUGUAUGUUGGGUAAUUAGCAUUCAUUUGAGAGCAUGUUCUUUAGGAACAGAAGAGAAAAGAGGUGUUUUUAAUAUCUAUUCCUUAGAAUCUGUGAUGCUGUUUAAAUUUUCAAGAUACUGGGGGGGAAAAAAGUCAGUGAGAAUGAAAAUGUCCUAUCCUAAUAUUCACUAAAUACUGUUGUCUUUAAAAUCCAAUAAUGUAGUUGAAAUUUUCCAGCUUUUAUGAGUGAGGAAAUUCCAAGCAUUUUGUAGUGACAGAUACUGUUAGUGGGUAGUUGUCCACUGACGUCAAAAACAGAGGAUGGUGAACAGCUUUGUUCAUGUCAACGAAAAAUGUACGGUCUUGGAUAAACUCUGUGUUAGCAACCGAGCUAUCAAUGAUAUAUGAGCAGCUUCACAUGAGUUCCCAUGUGCAUUCACUCCAGUACUGAAUUCCAGAUCUCAUUUAAUGAGCAACUGAUGGAGCCAAGACCUGGCACAGCACAAAUCUGCAGUCUGCUUUAUCCAG
rnacentral:lncRNA from 1 species